GGGAUCUGAGAAUGUACCAGGGUGGCUCGGGUUCGCGUCUAAAGGUUUCUUCCUCCCUACUUCCGCCCACUCGUGGUGACAGGUGUGGACCAACCCUGCCUGGGGAGUGAGGCCCCUCGUCACUCCUGUUCGUGCCCCUGGAAGAGUCUGGGAGUAUCGUUCGGCUUCUGUCCUGGCCACAGGGAGAGUAGAAUAUUGUCUAACUGGAGUUAACUGUCGUUUUUCACUAUUCCCACUGGGGAAGUACCGGGUGAUCUUUUUGUGUGGCUAACACUGGACGUCUUUAGGAGGUUUAGAGCAAAAUGGCUGGGACCGCCAAAAAGGCUACAAGCUAUUUCCUGAGUGUGAAAUGUGGGCGGUAAUGAAAUUUAGAGCAAGAGUCUUCAAACAUUUUCUGUAAAGGUUCAGAUAGUAAAUAUUUUAGGCUUUGUGAUUACAUGGUCACUGUUGCAACUACUCAAGUCUGCUGUGAUAGUGCAGGAGCAGCCAGAGACAGCAUAAACAAGUGAGCAUGGCUGUGUUUCUAUAAAGCUUUAUAGACACUGAAAUUUGAAUUUCACAUAAUUAUUUUAAAUAAUAAGCCUACUUUUUUAGUAUAAUUAUAGAUUUACACAAUAAUUGAGCAGAUAGUACAAAGAGUCCACAUACUUCCCCUUCAUCCCCAGCUUCUCCUAUUGGUAACAUCUUGCAUUAGUGUGGUACAUUGGUUACAAUUGAUGAGCCAGUAUUGAUACAUUAUUAUUAACUAAGCCCAUCAUUUAAAGUUCACUCUGUUGUACAUUCUAUGGCAGGGAUCCCCAGCCUUUUGGCACCAGGGACUGGUUUCAUGAAAGACAAUUUUUCCACAGGAGGUGGGGACAGGGAGGCACAGGAAAUGUUUUCAGGAUGAUUCAAGUGCAUUACAUUUAUUGUGCACUUUAUUUGUAUUGUUAUUACACUGUAAUAUAUAAUGAAAUAAUUAUAUAACUCAACAUAAUACAGAAUUAGUGGGAGCCCUGAGCUUGUUUUCCUGCAACUAGAUGGUCUCAUCUGGGGGUGAUGGGAGACAGUGAUUAGAUCAUCAGGCGUUAGAUUCUCAUAAGGAGCGUGCACUCUAGAUCCCUCACAUGUGCAGUUCACAGUAGGGUUCACACUCCUAUGAGAAUCUAAUGCUGCUGCUGAUCUGACAGGUCGUGGAGCUCAGGCGGUAAUGCAAGUGAUGGGGAGUGGCUGUAAAUACAGAUGAAGCUUCGCUCACUCACCCACCUGCUGCUCACCUCCUGCUGUGUGGCCUGGUUCCCAACAGGGUUGGGAACCACUGUUCUAUGGGUUUUGACAAAGGUAUAAUGACAUGUAUCCAUAAUUACAGUAUUAUAUAGAAUAGUUUCACUGCCCUAAAAAAGCCCUAUGCUCUACCUAUUUUUUCCUCCUUCCUCUUCCCUACCUCUGGUCAGGUAACCACUGAUCUUUUCACUGUCUCCAUGGUUUUGCCUUUUGCAGAAUGUCAUAUAGUUGGAAUCAUACAGUAUGUAGCAUUUUUGAAUUGGCUUCUUUCACUUAGCAAUAUGCACUUAAGGUCCCUCCAUGUCUUUUCAUGGCUUGAUAGCUCAUUUCUUCUUAGCACUAAAUAGUAUUACAAAAAUACUAUUUACAGUGUUACAAAAAAUAGUAUGUAUGUUCUAUAGCCUAUUAGUCUGCCUAGGCUGCCAUAAGACAACACCACAGACUGCGUGGUUUAAACAAUGGAAAUUUAUUUUCUCCCAGUUCUGGAGGUUAGAGUUCAAGAUCAAGAUGGCCGCACCUUCAGGUUCUGGUUAGGGCUCUCUUCCUGGCUUGCAUGCACAUGGCUGCCUUCUUCUUGUGUCCUCACAUGGCACUGAGAGAGAGAAUCUUCUUCUUCUUAUAAGGCCACAGUCCUAUCAGAUUAGUGCCCCACUUUAAUGACCUCAUUUAACUUUAAUUACCUCCUAAAGACUGUAUCUCUCGAUAUAGUAAUAUUUGGGGUUAGGGCUUCAACAUACGAAUUUUGGAGGACACAGUUUAGGCCAUAAAUUCACAGUUUGCUUAUCCACUUACCUAUUGAAGCACAUCUUGGUUGCUUCCAACUUUUGGCAAUUAUAUAUAAAACUGCUGAAAACAUUUGUGUGCAGGUUUUUGUGUGGACAUGCAUUUUCCAAUUGUUUGGGUAAAUAUCAAGGAGCACAAUUGCUGGAUUGUGUGGUAAGAACAUGUUUUUUGUUUGUUUUGUAAGAAAUUGCCAAACUGUCUUCCAAAGUGGCUAUACCAUUUUGCAUUCCCGCUAGCAAUGAAUGAGCAUUUUUGAUGCUCCACAUCCUUGCUAACAUUUGGUGUUGCCAGUACUUUGGAUUUUAGUCAUUCUAAUAGGUGUGUAGUGGUAUGUUUUAAUUUGCAGUUUCCUGAUGACAUAUGAUGUUGAGCAUCUUUUCAUAUGCUUAUUUGCCGUCUGUAUGUUUUACCCUCCUCUCUCCUUCUCUCUUCUCUUUUACUCUUGCUUGAAUUUGUGCAAAAGCUGCUUUAUUCUGCUUUCUUCUUUCUUCCCUCCUCCUCCUCCUUUCUCCUUUCUCCUUUUUCCUUCUCUUUAUUCUUCUGUCAGCUGUACUUAAGAUAUGUGUAUCAAGAUCAGAAGCUUUCGUCUGCCACUGUGGUUUCGUUUAUGUCUUCAGUCUCUUCUGUGAAGGUUCUCUUGGCUUUCUAGCACUAAAUCAAAAUCUGGUGCUCCUGGAUGACACAACUUCCCGUAAUGCCCCGGUGAACGGUUGCUAAUUUUAUUCUCAAAACCUUUUCACCAUAGGGCCUCUGUUGGUGGGAUAGGUGUCUCCAUUGUCCUUCACUGCUAUUCUCCUUUCCUCCUCCCUAAAAAUAUCUAAGUUGAAAUCUCAUUUUGUCACAAUAUCCCAUCCUCUACCUCUCCUGAUUCCUGGAUCACUCUCUUUCACUUUUCUUUUUUUCUUUUAGAGAUGGGGUCUUGUUCUCUUGCCCAGGUUGGAGCUGGAGUAUGCGGUGGAGCAAUCACAGCUCACUGCAUCUUCAGACCCCUGGGGUCAAAGGAUCCUCCUGCCUCAGCCUCCCGAGUAGCUGGGACUACAGACACAUGCCACCAUGCCUGGCUUCUUUUUGGCUUUUUGAAAACAUUUUGCCACUAGCUUACUGUUACUUUCUUCACCAUUACUUCCAUCAUGAUUCUUGGAUGAUUUCAGUAUCCUUAGAGAAGAUCCUUCAGAUACACUGACCUGUCAUUUUCUGGACCUCCUCUUUAUCACUGAUCUUACCUUUUACCCAGUCUCAGCCAUUUGCUUUCCUGAUCAUAAGCCUAAGUCUUGUCACUACCAAUAACAUCUCACUUUCAAACAUCCUGCUCUGACUGCCUUCGCCUGUUUUACCAGCUUACUUCCUUUAGUAUUCCAGUUUCAAUAGUUGUUCAGUCCUUCUGAGAUUUUGCCAUGUUUCCAGUGUCUCUCAUUCUCUUCAGUUCAUCACGUCCCUCUUACCCAGUUUAAAUACCAUGGACAGUCAUUGUCACUAUUUCCUUCCUUUCACCUUUCAUAUUCAUGUCUGUCUCUUUUCUGGUAGGUUUCUCUUGGAUAAACCUAUUAGUUAAAUUCAGUUUUGCCCACUUCAUGCCUGUCCUAGUAUAGCUGAAUCAGCUGAAGAAAACACUUCAACUGUCCUGACUGGUCUCAAUUUAAGUGUUGCCAGACCAAUCAUAUUUCCCUGGUCCUCUCACUGUCCCAUUCUGAUGAUUGCUUUAUAAAGUUUCUUCUAUCUUCAAACCUCCAACAUCUCUCCCAUCCUUUGAAUCAGAAGAGAACUUCUACAGUCUCCCACUACCUCAUUUACCCACCUAUCAACAUGUUUGCUUUCUCUUUUGUUGGUGAGAAUGAGUGGCUUCUUGCUCCUAGCUAGAGCCAGUCCUUCCAUAUGUGCUUUAGAUUCUUCCUGUUUUGUU